rnacentral:rRNA from 1 species
UGCAUGUCGAGCGGAGUAAUGGGUACUUGCUCCCUGUAUGUCAGAUAACACGUGGGUAACCUGCCUGUAAGACUGGUAUAACUCCGGGAAACCGGGGCUAAUACCGGAUGCUUGAUUGAACCGCAUGGUUCAAUUAUAAAAGGUGGCUUUUAGCUACCACUUACAGAUGGACCCGCGGCCCAUUAGCUAGUUGGGGAGGUAACGGCUCACCAAGGCAACAAUGCGUAGCCAACCUGAAAGGGUGAUCGGCCACACUGGGACUGAAACACGGCCCAAACUCCUACGGGAGGCAGCAGUAGGGAAUCUUCCGCAUUGGACAAAAGUCUGACGGACCAACGCCGCGUGAGUGAUGAAGGUUUUCGGAUCGUAAAACUCUGUUGUUAGGAAAAAACAAGUACCGUUCGAAUAGGGCGGUACCUUGACGGUACCUAACCAAAAAGCCACGGUUAACUACGUGCCAGCAGCCGCGGUAAUCCUUAGGUGGCAAGCGUUGUCCGGAAUUAUUGGGCGUAAAGCGCGCGCAGGCGGUUUCUUAAUUCUGAUGUG